rnacentral:rRNA from 1 species
AUGGUUGUGAAGCAUCAAAUGGAGCAUAUUUGUAGUUCAACGAGUGGAAAAGUGACUAGCAUGACAUCUCAAUCAUGGGUUGCCGACAAGGCAGUAGCUAUGUUGAAGAAGGAUCCAACCGUUGUUGCUGUGAAGAUACUUAAAGACUUGCAAGAUGAGCAUCAUGUCACACUUAACUAUCACACAGUGUGGAAAGGCAAACAAAAGGCAGCAACAGGCUUAUAUGGGAGUUGGGAAGAAAGUUUCAGGAUGUUGUACAACUACAAGGCUGAAAUAGAAUUGAGGUCUUCGGGGAGUAUUGUUGAGAUUGAUACGACCACACAUGAAGGUGAAGUCCAUUUCAGCAAGCUAUUUAUCGCUUUCAAGCCUUGCAUAGAUGGUUUUGUGAAUGGAUGUAGGCCAUAUAUUAGCAUAGAUUCAACUCAUUUAAAUGGAAAGUGGAAUGGUCAGCUAGCUAUAGUCACUGCAUUGGAUGGUCACAAUUGGAUGUUCCCGGUGGCGUAUGGCUUUAUUGAGUCUGAAAAUGGAGAUAAUUGGGCUUGGUUCAUGAAUCAAGUGAAGAAGGCAAUAGGGGACCCUCCGGUAUUGGUUGUUUGUACUGAUGCUUGCAAGGGUCUUGAAAAUGCUGUUAAGAAGGUUUUUCCUCAAGCUGAGCAGCGAGAGUGCUUUAGGCAUAUGUGGCAUAAUUUUCAGAAAUAUUUUCAUGGUGAUGUGUUUGGAAGGUUGUGGCCUGCUGCUAGGGCAUAUAGGCCGGAAGAAUAUCAACAUCACAUGGCAAAGGUAUUUGAUGCAUCUGAGAAAGUAUAUCCUUACCUUAGGGAUUACCAUAAUCUGUUAUGGAUGAGGUGCAUGUUCAACCCUGCCAUCAAGUGUGACUACAUAAAUAACAAUCUCGCCGAGUGCUUCAACGCUUGGGUGCGAGAUAUCAAGGACUUGCCAAUUGUUCAGCUAGCUGAUAAGAUUAGAGAGAUGAUUAUGGAACUGUUUAGAAAAAGAAGAAUGAUUGGAGAAAGAUUUACAGGGAUAAUACUUCCAUUUGUCAUACACCAACUAAAUGCAAAGACUCGAGGACUAGGUCAUCUCAAGGCUAAAGCAUCAGCUGAUUGGAGUGGGGAAGUGAAAAAUGCUUACAAAGAGGAUGAAAGACAUGUGGUCAAAACUCUCACACAUGAGUGUACAUGUCUGCAAUGGCAGCACACGGGCAAGCCUUGCGACCAUGCACUAGCCUUCAUAAAUGUCUUGCAAGCUCGCAACUUUGUUAACAUGGAGGACUAUGUACAUGAGUACUACUCAGUUAGCAGAUUUAGGGCAGCAUAUGAAGGUGUAAUUGAGCCCCUUACGGACAAGAAUCAAUGGCCACACGUGGACACAGGCUUUGUGUUGCAUCCACCAAUUCCAAUAGGCAAGAAGAAAGGUGCUGGAAGAACAAGAAAACAGAGGAUAAAGAGUUGGUGGGAAGGUGGAUCAAGGAAAGGAUCCUUGAACAAAUGCAGAAAAUGCGGGGAGGUAGGACAUAGAGAAGCUGGCUGUCCUCAAAAUGGAACAAACAAAAGGAAAAGUAGGGGGAAAAAGAAUCCAUCUCCAUGGUUUGAUGUUUCAGUUAGCAAUGCCGUUCCAUCUACACCAACCAAGAGCAAGAAUGAUGCCACUUGUAGCGGUCCUGGAGCUGUCACAAGAAGCCAGGCUGCAGCUCAAGCUAGUCCUGGACCUGUCACAAGGAGCCAAGCUGCUACCCCACCACCAAAACCUCCAGCAAAAGAAAAGAAGAAGAAAAUGACACCUAAAAGGAAGAAAUUAAGUGACCUGUGA